CCGGUAAACGGCGGCCGUAACUAUAACGGUCCUAAGGUAGCGAAAUUCCUUGUCGGGUAAGUUCCGACCUGCACGAAUGGCGUAAUGAUGGCCAGGCUGUCUCCACCCGAGACUCAGUGAAAUUGAACUCGCUGUGAAGAUGCAGUGUACCCGCGGCAAGACGGAAAGACCCCGUGAACCUUUACUAUAGCUUGACACUGAACAUUGAGCCUUGAUGUGUAGGAUAGGUGGGAGGCUUUGAAGUGUGGACGCCAGUCUGCAUGGAGCCGACCUUGAAAUACCACCCUUUAAUGUUUGAUGUUCUAACGUUGACCCGUAAUCCGGGUUGCGGACAGUGUCUGGUGGGUAGUUUGACUGGGGCGGUCUCCUCCUAAAGAGUAACGGAGGAGCACGAAGGUUGGCUAAUCCUGGUCGGACAUCAGGAGGUUAGUGCAAUGGCAUAAGCCAGCUUGACUGCGAGCGUGACGGCGCGAGCAGGUGCGAAAGCAGGUCAUAGUGAUCCGGUGGUUCUGAAUGGAAGGGCCAUCGCUCAACGGAUAAAAGGUACUCCGGGGAUAACAGGCUGAUACCGCCCAAGAGUUCAUAUCGACGGCGGUGUUUGGCACCUCGAUGUCGGCUCAUCACAUCCUGGGGCUGAAGUAGGUCCCAAGGGUAUGGCUGUUCGCCAUUUAAAGUGGUACGCGAGCUGGGUUUAGAACGUCGUGAGACAGUUCGGUCCCUAUCUGCCGUGGGCGCUGGAGAACUGAGGGGGGCUGCUCCUAGUACGAGAGGACCGGAGUGGACGCAUCACUGGUGUUCGGGUUGUCAUGCCAAUG
rnacentral:rRNA from 1 species